rnacentral:misc_RNA from 1 species
GAAAUGCGAUAAGUAAUGUGAAUUGCAGAAUUCAGUGAAUCAUCGAAUCUUUGAACGCAUCCUCCGCUUAUUGAUAUGCUUAAGUUCAGCGGGUAGUCCUGCCUGAUUUGAGAUCAAGAUCAUCAUAAAUGUGUCAAGAAGACAAUUAGAAGCAGUAUGACCAUCAAUAUGAAGGUACAUGUAAAGGCAUAGAUAACUUAUCACACCUAAGAACCAACAAAAGGCACUGCUAAUGCAUUUCAGGAGAGCUGACUUUGUUCUUUUUCUUAUUGGAUAAGAAUGAAAAAGCCUGCAAAACCCCCAUAUCCAAUCUGUAAACCAAAACUGGCACAGUUGAUAAAUUUAAUGAUACUCAAACAGGCAUGCUCC